rnacentral:rRNA from 1 species
GGCCGCGGGAAUUCGAUUCAGGCCUAACACAUGCAAGUCGAGCGAAUUGUCAGAGGUGCUUGCACCUCUCGAUUUUAGCGGCGGACGGGUGAGUAACACGUGGGUAACCUACCUAUAAGACUGGGAUAACUUCGGGAAACCGGAGCUAAUACCGGAUAAUAUUUAGCUUCGCAUGAAGCAAUAGUGAAAGACGGUUCUGCUGUCACUUAUAGAUGGACCUGCGGUGUAUUAGCUAGUUGGUGAGGUAACGGCUCACCAAGGCAACGAUACAUAGCCGACCUGAGAGGGUGAUCGGCCACACUGGGACUGAGACACGGCCCAGACUCCUACGGGAGGCAGCAGUAGGGAAUCUUCCGCAAUGGACGAAAGUCUGACGGAGCAAGGCCGCGUGAGUGAAGAAGGUUUUCGGAUCGUAAAACAAAGGGUAAGGGAAGAACAAGUACGUUAGUAACUGAACGUACCUUGAC